CUCACUUCAGUUUCUGCACAGCAUCGUUCCACCCCGAACCUUUGAAGAAAAAAAUAAAUAUUUUCUUAUAUUAUGUUCAGUUUGUGGUAUGUAAAUUCCUAACGGAAAUUAAGGCCUUCUGUUGCUGUAUAAAUAUCGAGAUUCUGCAUGAAUUUUGGUUCCUCAAUGCAAACACAUUACAACACCUAUUGUUUCUGACACAUUGUGCUUGGAUUUUGGUUUCUCAUUGCAAUUACUGAUUUAAGAAUGGAUAUUGCGCAACGGAAGAAAAGAAAGUCUGAAGGGAAAAUUGAUUAGAUGAAUGGUGAUGUUGAAUCUUUGACCAAAGAGAAGGCUGAACUAGUAACAAAAGGGUUCGUUCCUGAUCUUAAGAAACAGCUGGAUACUGAAAAACGCGAGCGUGCACCGAAGGAUCAACAACUAAAGGAGAUGAUCACAAGUAUGAAGGAACAAGAACAAAUGACAACUGCAAAUGCACUUGGCCGCUAAAGGAAUAUUUACACCAAAGACAAGUCCAACUAGCAAGGCUGAAACACUGAUGCCGAACCAACUCAGGAUCAUAAUAAGGAGAAACAAAAGACUAAGAAGAGAAAGGAUACCUUUUCAGAUACUGUAGAUAGCUCAGAUUGUGUCCUGUAGACUCAUUUGCUCCUAUAUUUGCACAAAACGAUUUGCAGUAGUACAAGCUACGGUGUUUGGGCAGGCCGGGCACUAACUAGAGUUCGAGACUAAACCAAAAAAUAGAGGAAGGAGAGGUCGAGGUCGAGGUCAUAUACCACCAAUAAUGUCAAAACGCUGAUUACAACAUACAAAAUUGAAGGCGCGUAUCUUUCCAAAAGGAAAGGGUAAAGUUUGUGAGGAUAAAUUAUCAUUGUUACUUAUCCCCGUCGACGCAGCCCCAUAUACCGAGAUCACUGCUAACCUUACUAGUCCAACAUACCGUUGCAACAAUGUGACAAAAGGUAUAUCAGAUAUGGAAUACCAAUUGAUCGAGACUAAGCCUUGUGGAUGGACGUCGUUCAUGCCGCUUACCGCACUCCACAACCCAAUAGAAGGUUAUCUUGUGCACUACACUUUUGUCAUUGGGAUAAAUUUUAUUUGUUGCAGAUGGAGCCAAUAGAGGGAUGAUAUGGAUGCCAGAUCUAAGAGAGCUGUCAAAAGUCCCAAGUCUGGCUGCAGUUUACAUUUUGGCAAGUUAGAAAAAGGUGGGCAAGGCCGCAAGGGUUAAGAAAGAAAGACAUCUUGCUAGGUUUUCUGGUGUAAUUCAAGGUUUUCUUUUUUCCUUUUCUCUUCUUGUAUAUGCAUCGUUACUUGGCUGUUAGUAGGUCCGUACGGUCCUGUUGAACUUCUAAUAUGGUAGCUAUAUAGUGUUUUGAUGCAUAUGUUAUUUGAAGCCUCAUGCAGCGACAUAUCACAUAUGUUUUGGUUGACAACUAUAAUGAA